CAGCCGCCACGGUAAUACGUAGGGGGCAAGCGUUAUCCGGAUUUACUGGGUGUAAAGGGAGCGCAGACGGCAGUGCAAGUCUGAAGUGAAAGGCGUGGGCUCAACCCAUGAACUGCUUUGGAAACUGUAUAGCUUGAGUGUCGGAGGGGUAAGCGGAAUUCCUAGUGUAGCGGUGAAAUGCGUAGAUAUUAGGAGGAACACCGGAGGCGAAGGCGGCUUACUGGACGACAACUGACGUUGAGGCUCGAAGGCGUGGGGAGCAAACAGGAUUAGAUACCCGAGUAGUCCCUGUCUCUUAUAC
rnacentral:rRNA from 1 species